rnacentral:lncRNA from 1 species
GCUGCGCCUGUCAUUCACAUAGACAGUUUAGCCAUUGUCAAAGCAGCAAUUUCGACUGGCACAGCAACGCUCAUCUGAAUGGCAUCUGUCAAUGUCGUCAACUACUCGGAC